GAGACAGCAGCCGCCGCGGUAAUACGUAGGGUGCAAGCGUUAAUCGGGAUUACUGGGCGUAAAGCGUGCGCAGGCGGUUUGUUAAGACAGAUGUGAAAUCCCCGGGCUUAACCUGGGAACUGCAUUUGUGACUGGCAAGCUAGAGUCUGGCAGAGGGGGGUGGAAUUCCGCGUGUAGCAGUGAAAUGCGUAGAUAUGCGGAGGAACACCGAUGGCGAAGGCAGCCCCCUGGGCCAACACUGACGCUCAUGCACGAAAGCGUGGGGAGCAAACAGGAUUAGAGACCCCCGUAGUCCCUGUCUCUUAUAC
rnacentral:rRNA from 1 species